rnacentral:rRNA from 1 species
GAUAAUGCAUGUCUAGUAUAGCACUUGUACUGUGAAACUGCGAAUGGCUCAUUAAAUCAGUUAUCGUUUAUUUGAUAGUACCUUACUACAUGGAUACCUGUGGUAAUUCUAGAGCUAAUACAUGCUAAAAACCCCGACUUCAGGAAGGGGUGUAUUUAUUAGAUAAAAAACCAACGCCCUUCGGGGCUCCUUGGUGAAUCAUAAUAACUUAACGAAUCGCAUGGCCUUGCGCCGGCGAUGGUUCAUUCAAAUUUCUGCCCUAUCAACUUUCGAUGGUAGGAUAGUGGCCUACCAUGGUGGCAACGGGUAACGGGGAAUUAGGGUUCGAUUCCGGAGAGGGAGCCUGAGAAACGGCUACCACAUCCAAGGAAGGCAGCAGGCGCGCAAAUUACCCAAUCCCGAUACGGGGAGGUAGUGACAAUAAAUACUGAUACGGGGCUCUUUUGGGUCUCGUAAUUGGAAUGAGAACAAUUUAAAUCCCUUAACGAGGAACAAUUGGAGGGCAAGUCUGGUGCCAGCAGCCGCGGUAAUUCCAGCUCCAAUAGCGUAUAUUAAAGUUGUUGCAGUUAAAAAGCUCGUAGUUGAACCUUGGGUCUGGCUGGCCGGUCCGCCUCACCGCGAGUACUGGUCCGGCUGGACCUUUCCUUCUGGGGAACCUCAUGGCCUUCACUGGCUGUGGGGGGAACCAGGACUUUUACUGUGAAAAAAUUAGAGUGUUCAAAGCAGGCCUUUGCUCGAAUACAUUAGCAUGGAAUAAUAGAAUAGGACGUGUGGUUCUAUUUUGUUGGUUUCUAGGACCGCCGUAAUGAUUAAUAGGGAUAGUCGGGGGCGUCAGUAUUCAGCUGUCAGAGGUGAAAUUCUUGGAUUUGCUGAAGACUAACUACUGCGAAAGCAUUCGCCAAGGAUGUUUUCAUUAAUCAGGGAACGAAAGUUAGGGGAUCGAAGACGAUCAGAUACCGUCGUAGUCUUAACCAUAAACUAUGCCGACUAGGGAUCGGACGGGAUUCUAUAAUGACCCGUUCGGCACCUUACGAGAAAUCAAAGUUUUUGGGUUCUGGGGGGGAAUAUGGUCCCAAGGCUGAAACUUUAAGAAAUUGACGGAAGGGCACCCCAAGGGGUGGAACCCGCGGCUUAAUUUGACCAACACCGGGGAAACUCCCCAGGUCCCAACAAAAAAAGGGUUGACCGAUUGGGAACCCUUCUCUGACCUUUUUGAAAGAGGGUGCCAGGCCGGCCUUAUUUUGUGGGAGAGAGAUUUUUCUCCUUAUUUUUGUAAAAAAAACAAAAACCCCGCCCCUUAAAAAAACAGGGGCGCCAUUUUUCGCGGCGCCGGGGUCUUUAUUAGG